rnacentral:rRNA from 1 species
UACAGAGGUCCCAAGCGUUGUUCGGAUUCACUGGGCGUAAAGGGUGCGUAGGCGGCCGGGUAAGUCUGACGUGAAAUCUUCAAGCUCAACUUGGAAACUGCGUCCGAUACUAUUCGGCUAGAGGAAUGGAGGGGAGACUGGAAUACUUGGUGUAGCAGUGAAAUGCGUAGAUAUCAAGUGGAACACCAGUGGCGAAGGCGAGUCUCUGGACAUUUCCUGACGCUGAGGCACGAAAGCCAGGGGAGCAAACGGG